AAGUUAAGUCUUGUAUAAGAUCUGUUAUGUACCUCUUAAUAAUAACUCUUGCCGGUGGAUUAAAAAAUGGCUCACUUCCGGAGCGGGGUGCCCCCUCGGGAGCGGGGUUUGUUGACGGGGCAACUUUCUGCGCGAGUGACGCGUCUGCGGCGGAAAAGCACACCGAGGGAGACGAAGACAUGACCCGGCUGAACUCUGUUGUGCCUCGCUUCGAAUCACGCUCCGCCGCCAUUAGAGGCAAAAUGUCACGGCUGGGGGGGUUGACCUAACCUCUCAGCUGAAGACUUGAAUCGGAACCGCGUGUUUUAGCUAAAAUUGGGCAUCCCUUUUUCUUUUUCUCGCCCACCCCUCCCGCCCAGCGAUGGGCUCCGUGACUUCCGCCCUGACGAGGACACGCCACGCGCUGGUCAAAGUGGGCUCGGAGCCGGAGAGCCACUCUGCGCCCGAGUCGGCCAGGAAGAGUAGUCGCAAGCCUCCCAGCCAAGCCGCUCGACAGACUUCCCGGCCGUUGCUCGCGGAGGUCCUGAGCCGGCAGGACUCGGACGGAGCCAAGAAGUCAGUCGAGGUCCAACAGAACAAACCGAACGUGGCGAACGAAGAUGGCGGAAGCACAAGUCGACCGCAGGCCAAUUUUGCACGCUCAAAGUCCCAGAGUGCUUUAUGGAACGCCAUCACGGCAGGGAUGGGCAUCCAAGGCAAAGAGCAGAAGCCCCCCCAGAAUGACACCAGGAGUCCUGAGGAGAUUCUGGCGGAUGAGCUCCCCCUGAAGGAUGAGGCGGAUGCCACUGAGAAGACCGCCAUCAGGCGGAAGUACAAGAAGACGUCCCAGAGAUUAAGAUGUCUGGUCAAACAGCUGGAGAGAGGGGAGGCUUCCCUGGCCGACCUCAAGAAGAACCUGGAGUAUGCGGCGUCCGUGCUGGAGUCGGUCUACAUCGAGGAGACGAGGCGUUUGGUGGACACUGAGGAUGAGCUCAGCGACAUUCGGUCAGAGUCGGUACCGUCGGAGGUGCGCGACUGGCUGGCCUCUACCUUCACGCGCCAGAUGGGCCUGAUGCUGCGACGCAACGAGGAGAAACCUCGGUUCCGAAGCAUCGUCCAUGCCGUCCAGGCAGGAAUAUUUGUUGAGAGGAUGUACCGACGCACCUCCAAUUUGGUGGGACUCAGCUAUCCCCCUUCCGUUAUAUCUGUGCUUAAGAAUGUUGACAAGUGGUCAUUUGAUGUGUUCGCUCUGAACGAGGCCAGUGGAGAUCACGCGCUUAAAUUCAUUUUCUAUGAGUUGCUCACCAGAUAUGACCUCAUCAGCCGUUUCAAGAUUCCAAUUUCUGCAGUUGUGUCGUUUGUCGAAGCCCUGGAAGUGGGAUACAGCAAGCAUAAAAAUCCCUAUCACAACUUGAUACAUGCUGCUGAUGUUACGCAGACUGUUCAUUACCUAUUACUCAAGACCGGCAUGGUGCAUUGGUUAACUGAGCUGGAGAUCUUUGCCAUGAUCUUUGCUGCGGCCGUGCACGACUACGAGCACACGGGGACCACAAACAACUUCCACAUUCAGACAAGGUCUGACACGGCUAUCCUGUACAACGACCGCUCGGUGUUGGAGAGCCACCACGUGAGCGCGGCCUACCGCCUGCUGCAGGAAGACGACGAGAUGAACAUCCUGUACAACCUCUCCAAGGAUGACUGGAGAGAGCUGCGCGCUCUGGUGGUGGAGAUGGUCCUGGCCACCGACAUGUCCUGCCACUUCCAGCAGGUGAAGGCCAUGAAGAACUUCCUGCAACAGCCUGAGGGCAUCGAUAAGCCCAAAGCCCUGUCCUUACUGCUGCACACUGCUGACAUCAGCCACCCGGCCAAAGGUUGGGACCUUCACAACCGUUGGACCACCUCUCUGCUGGAGGAGUUCUUCAGACAGGGGGACAAAGAAGCGGAGCUCGGCCUUUCCUUCUCACCGCUCUGUGACCGAAAGUCAACAAUGGUGGCGCAGUCCCAGAUCGGCUUCAUCGACUUCAUCGUGGUGCCCACCUUCACCGUGCUGACCGACAUGAUGGAGCGCAUCGUCACGCCGCUCAUCGACGAGGCCUCGCACUCCGCUCUCGCGGGCUUCCGACGCUCCAGUAUGAACAGUAUUAGCUCAGAGGAGGCCAAGAGGCACAGCGUGAAGAGCAUGCCCUCCGACGGCUGCUCGUCGGGCCACAACUCCCUGCUGGCUGUGGACAUGAAGAACUUCAAGGCGCUGUGGAACGAGGAGGUCUACCAGAACAGGGAGCGCUGGAAAGCGCAGGCCACCAAAGAAGCCGAGGAGAGAGCCAAAAGGGACGCGGAGGAGCGAGCCCAGCAGGAAGACACCACGGAGCCUCAGAAGGACCACGCCGACUCCGCCGAGCCCAAAGACGGCGAACAGGAGGCAGGCGACAAGGAGCCUGAGCCCGACGGCGGUGAUGCGGCUCCACCGCCACCCGGGGGCGCCGCCGCACAUAAGAGUCCCUCGCUGCAGAACGGUUAGCCAUGAGAGUUGUCUGAAGGUGCAAACUCUCUGGGAAGUGAAGCGAUCAAAAACACAGCACAUGAUGCGGAGAUCACUAUGGAAUGAGAAUCGCAGCGCCUUGAAUACCUGAGGUGGGGGGUGGGGAUGGGUUGCCAAUCAGUAGGACGUUGUCGCUCCCUGCAGGAAACCGAGAAACUAACUGACGCCUUCACAUCCUUAAGCGUCUCGUUUGUUUGGACUGUACAUAAUACCGCCACACUCCUGUUGUUGUCUCCCUUUAGACUGGAUGGCUUUACAGCAUUUAAUUUGGAGUUCUCUAUAGUUUUAGGCUCUGCGAAAUGUACAUUUAACUGCCAAGUCAGAGAAAUGUUCUUUUUUUUUUUUUUUUUUUUUUUUUUUUGGUGUCCUCCCAGUGCUUUAUCGUUCUUUUUGUACCUUUAAUUUUGCUUUUAAUGUAAAUGGCUCUUAUUGCAAACACAACGGCGUGGAUUUAAUGAAAGAUAUUGUCACAAAAACUUUUUUUUAAAUAUACUGCAUGUUUUGUUUAGCGUUUUUGUUCUUCUCGAUGCCUUGUUGUGUUUUUGUGCUGUAGCAAAGCGUCUUUUAAAUGUCCUGCUUUUUUUCUCCGCCACUCUGCAAAUAAUAAGUCAAAUAUUGCUUGUUGAGCAGAUGUAAAAUAACAAAUCUCCACUUUCGCUGUUAUUCUACAUGUAUACUUGUAGUUAAGAGCGUGAGAAAUGGGCAGUAUUUGCGUUCCCAUAUUUACAUAAUUGUGCACUUGUACAAUUUUAUUUUGGUAUAAACCCAUAGUGCCAAGAUGUUGGCAUGUGAUGUGCAUCUUUGAGGAAAAAAUAUAUCUAAAAAGGGAGAAUUUAACAACAAACCUUCGAAGAAUGAGAGAGAACCUUGUGGAUUAUUUGGGAGCCGUUCUUCUGUUUGACAUGCACUCAUGUUUUUUACAAGAAAGCGACAUAAUGUGCUGUGAAAAGCGACUUUUCUCUUCUACCUGUGUGCCUCUUACUGUACAUGUAACCGCGCCUGUAGGAACCAGCCGUCAUUGUUUCUGCAACCUGUUGAUGUUUUAUGUGCUCUUUUUGUGCUGUAACAAUUAUAUUCCUCUUUGCCUUUUUUCAUCGGCCAGUGAGUUUAAUUUAGUUUACUUUUGUUUAGUCUUGUUAUAUACUGUUGUGGGGUCGCUUCGUUGGAUUCCCCCCCCCCCCCCCGCCCCCCACAAAAUGUAAAUUUCCCC